rnacentral:sRNA from 1 species
GCCCGAUGCGGUGCGACGUUUUAGUUUUCGA